GUAGGUGAACCUGCGGAAGGAUCAUUAAUGAAUUUUUCUAGCGGACCGGGUCUCGGCUCGGCUUCGCGAAAGAUUUUUGUAUUUAAAACUUUUCCACCCGUGAAAAAAAAAAAUUGUAAAUUGUAAAAUAAAAAAAAAGAUCACUUUCAACAACGGAUCUCUUGGCUCUC
rnacentral:misc_RNA from 1 species